rnacentral:snRNA from 1 species
AGACGUGAGGGGGAUCCGGCUGCAACAUCUGUCACGCCACUGAUCACCAGGGUUGACUCUGCUGACCCAGCUGGCUGGGCGGGUGUCCCCUUCCUCCCUCACUGCUCCAUGUUCCUCCCUCCCGAAGCCUCGCAUUGAAUAGAGGCGUACUCGAGGGUAUCUGAGUGACUGCGCUCCCCUGAUAGAACCUCCAAACAAGCUCUCAAGAAUGAUGAAGUCACCAGUCAAAAACACACAGCGCACAAGGACCAAGGUUCAAGCCCCUGGU